rnacentral:rRNA from 1 species
GACGAACGCUGGCGGCGUGCUUAACACAUGCAAGUCGAACGGAAAGGCCCUGCUUUUGUGGGGUGCUCGAGUGGCGAACGGGUGAGUAACACGUGAGUAACCUGCCCUUGACUUUGGGAUAACUUCAGGAAACUGGGGCUAAUACCGGAUAGGAGCUCCUGCUGCAUGGUGGGGGUUGGAAAGUUUCGGCGGUUGGGGAUGGACUCGCGGCUUAUCAGCUUGUUGGUGGGGUAGUGGCUUACCAAGGCUUUGACGGGUAGCCGGCCUGAGAGGGUGACCGGCCACAUGGGGACGGAGAGACGGCCCAGACGCAGACGGGAGGCAGCAGGGGGGAAUAUGGCACAAGGGGCGGAAGCCGGAGGCAGCAACGCCGCGUGCGGGAGGACGGCCUUCGGGUGGGAAACCGAUUUCGCCUGUGACGAAGCGUGAGGGACGGGAAUGGGGAAAGAAGCACCGGCGAACUACGG